GUUCCACCUCCGUCCAGCUAGAGGGCCCUGAUCGUGGUUUCUGGGUGCGCUGGAAACUACUCCGCUCUCAAAGAAGGAGAGCAACGAAAAGAGUGAAGACGGAGUCGACCCUCGAAGGUUGAAGCGCAGAGCCAUGGCUCGUGGGCAGCAGAAGAUUCAGUCCCAGCAAAAGAACGCAAAGAAAGCAGCAGAGAAGAAGAAAUCUCAUGGUGCCGACCAGAAAACCGCCGCCAAGGCCGCGCUGGUCCACACCUGCCCUGUCUGCCGGACCCAGAUGCCCGACCCGAAAACCUUCAAGCAGCACUUUGAGAGCAAACACCCCAAGUCCCCGAUGCCUCCGGAGCUGGCCGACGUUCAGGCGUAACGGACCACUGAGACAAUGAAGAUGGGUGAAGUAAGGACUUUUCAUAGCUGGAAAAAAGACCCAACUCAAAAAAAAACACAAUGACCACAGAUGACUCGGCUGCGUUGCCUGGGGGACGUUGACGAACUCUGGACCCGUCAGUAUUCAAUGGACAACAGGGGAGACUCACAACAGAAACCUGGGCAGACAAACACCAGCAGCCCCCCCUUACCCCCCAUGUUUGAAAAUAUAUAUUUAUUACAUGUAACUAACUUUUAGUGUAACAUUUCAGUUUUUCCACCAAUUAUAAUAUUCUUCCACUGCAACAAAAAGUAGAUUUCAUGUUAAAAUUUUGCCCCCAAAGACUGAAUUAAUGUUUUCACUGUACUUUGUUUUUUUAACAUUUUCAAUAAAGCAAUCAAUAUAUUCAA